AAGCAUGUCAGAAGGACACUUUUUGGUUAAUUCCUUUUAUCUUUCCCAGGCUUCAUAGAGGGAUUUGCCUUCCUUCUGUUUAAAGGUUUGGACUUCCACUCUAAGCUU